UCUGUUCAUUUUGUAGUUCUAAAUUUACGUAGCUGAGCAAGUUGUUUUUCUGUGCUUCUGUGUGGCUCGGUGGCGUGGAAGUGGCAUCCGCGGAUGGCAUCCACCAUCAAUCCUUCUUUGGUAUCGCGUGUAUGAAACCUGUGUGCGUUUUUAUGAUUGGAUUUCUGUGGUGCUGCGGGCCAUUUUCGUCCUGUGUCUACUGCAGGGGUCUCGAGUGCCGCAGUCCUGCAGUUUUUAGAUGAGCCACAGAUAACCACACACACAUACAAACACACGCACUCGCACCCAAGUACGGGCACCUCGGUGCUGUAUCCACCUCAUCAUCGGCUGUGACUUCAUCUCCCAUUUACCUGCUAUUCUAUCAAUAAACCUUCUAAUCUGCACCGAUGGAGUUGCCCUAUUCCUUCUGACCGAGGAAGAUUCAAUCGAUAAGUAAUCUGAAAUUAGCGCCUAUUAGACGCACACAGUCAUCUACAGUCCAUAUAAAGUACAACUGCAAUGCUUUGGUCUGAAUUCCUUGUUUUUGUAAUUCCAGAAGAAGUGGCGGCAUAGUUACCUUGAAAAAGUAACUUAGUUACUUUACUGAUUUUUUUAUUUAUUUAUUUGAAAAUAACGAAGUUAGAUUAUAAGCUACAUUAUUAGUUAUUUUCAGCAGUUGCCAACAACCACCUGGAUAGCUGAAAGUAACUUGUAAUAUGAAUUGCUAGUAAAAAAGGUUAAUAAAUAUUAAUUCAUAAUAGUUAGAAUAAGCUUAAAAACAAUGUAAAUACAGUAAAAAGUUGUUGAAAAGUUAUAAUUUUCAUGUAUUAAUGUUUGUCUCGUUUUGUUCAAGGAAAUUGCGAUCUGUGAAUCAGCAAUCGGCUAGUAAGCCUCUUCUGGCAUCGAUUGGUAAAGCCUCCAUCCUCCACUGAGGGAUUUUCGCGCCUUUUUUAUUUGCACUUCCUGUUCUUGCCAUGCUGAUCACAAAGAGACAGCGAGGGAUCCUGGAGAAUUAGGAGGGAAAUUUUAAAAUAAUCGCCACUGGAAAACAGAAUGAGACGUCAAACUGCGGAGAUGAAAGGUCCAGGAGUGAAACAUCCCCAGAUGUUCCUCCUCAACCAGUACUGGAGCGCCACCUGGGGGAUAAUGGGUUCCUGGGCCAGGAGGGAUGGAUGGUACUUGAAGUGGGAUCUUGGUCAGAUCCAGGGAUCUCUUCCCAAUGGGACUGGAAAACCUUAACAUCAAAGAUGGAUCCUGAUGAGAUUCCUGAACUACUUCAGUUUACCUUUCAGUUCAGUUCCUUCUUCAAUGCAACAGACUAAACCAGAAGCCCAGUUUAGCUCAGACAGAACCUCAUCUUACACUAAAUGGAUUCUCCAUGGGGUUAAAGGUCAUGGAAAUUUGCUGGCCAGUCAAGAACAGGAUCUCCAUGGACACUGAACCAGAUUUGGUACCUUUGGCGGUGUGGGUCGGUACCAAGUCCUGCUGGAAAAUAAAACCAGCAUCUUCAUCCAGUUUGUCAGCAGAGGGAAUCGUGAAGCGCUCUAGAAUUUUCUGCAUAAACUGGACUUCAGGAAACCCAGUGGACCAGAACCAGGAGACAACAUGGCACCUCAAGCUUCACUCUGUACUUCAACCAACAUGGACGCUGUGCUUCUCCGUUCUUCAGACCCUGAUACCCUGAUUACAAAAUGAAAUGCAGAGUUUUCUCUCCUGUGAAGAAAGGACUAUGGACCAAACCUCAACAGUUCAGCUCCUUUUCACCUUCGCCAGGUCAGUCGGAUUGAUGGGCGAGAUGAAACCCAUCAACCUGCUACCGCUUCUUCUGUUCUUCUCUGGACAAAUUCAAGGUCUCACUGAGAUGAUCCAAAAGUUUCUUCCAACUGGAAAAGAAUCAAAUAUUAGUUUCCCUGUAAAAAAGCUUCCUAGAGAUUCUACGGUUUUAUGGUUUGAUCAUUUAAAUAGGACCAUAGCAACACAUUAUUCGUAUGGAGAAACAAAAUUGGAGCAGCUUUUCGAUGGAAAAGUGAAGAUUGCUGGACCAACAACGCUGAAGUUUCUGAAUCCACAGACAUCAGACAGUGGAUUAUAUUUCGCAAAGGUGAUAGGAGAUAAACAUAAUAAUGCAGUGAUGUGCUUCAGCGUCACAUUUGCAGACCAAAAUACGGUUUCCACAGUUGCUGUUCCUGCUGUUUCUCCUGCUGCUAUUGCUGUUCCUGCUGCUAUUGCUGUUUCUCCUGCUGUUCUUGCCAUCAUUGCUGCUGUUGGGUUUGGUGCUGUUUAAAGAAGAAAUGUCAAGACCAGACAGAAGCCGUAGUCUUCUCUGCAAACUCUGGAACAAAUUCUCCAAUUGUCCAGAUCCUUCUACCACCUACCCAAGACAACGGAGAUCCUCACAACAUCGAGGAAAAUGCUGCAGAUUCACCUGUUUAAAGCUGCAGAGAAAACCACAGACUGUCACUCUGUGCUGCACUACAGUGCUCUCUCCACAACUUGUGAACAGCAGAAUUAGUUUUCCUGUAACUUCAGGUUACAGGUGGGGUGUUGUGGUGGCGCAGAGAAAACCUAAACUAUUGCUUCUUGUGUUGAGGAUUUAAAUUUGAACGUUUUCCUUUGAUGUAUGCAACGUGCUAGUUCGACGCUAUGAAGCUUACCCGAAACAACCUGCACUGUAGAUAACCGUCCUCCACAGCGAAUAGAUGAGAUCCGAUCUGAACGAGGCUGCUGUUAAUUUUAACGUUAAUUUAAUAUUUGGAAGUGUGGCCAACAUGGACUGAACGAUUUUGUUCACUUCCUCCUUUCCUAUUGCUAAAACUACAGACUACAAUUCUAAAACAGCGCAGAAAAUCGAUGUCUUCAUUCACAGCGUCUCCUAUUCGCUGAUUGGCCCUUAGGAAAACCAACUGGAGGGGUUUUUCACAAGCUGAAACUAUAAUCUCAAGAAAAUAUAAAUAAAAUUCAAACAUAAUUUCUAGUCAUUUUUUUUUUCAACUUUGGUAACCUGCUAAGGAAAGACAGAAGUUUAUGUAAAACUUGUCUUAAACCAGCUACAUUCAUGAGUUGGGUCUAAAACCAUUUAUGAUUUAAAUAUUGUCAGAAUGAAAUGUAAACAUUGUGCAAGUUUGAGUUUAGUAAUGUAAAUCUAAUCUCUAAAGAGACCACAGUUAUAUAAAAUAAAGACUGUUAAAUAAACAUUAAAAAGAAUAAUCAAAAACAAAAUGACAGACAUGAUCAGAAACAAGGAUCAAUAAGGUGUAAAGGAGACCGUGCUGGAAGCGAGAUUUUAUUUGAGCGGAGUUGGUCAGGAAGAAAUGGCCAGUCUAGGAGCGAACUAGAUGAAACGAAAUUUGAGGUUCGGGUUCAUUUGAUGGCGACAGUUUCGGACCAACCAGACAAUCACGACACGGCGCUCUACAGGUGAAGUGCAGCCUUUCUUAGCUCAACUGUUUUGGCUCCAUGCUUUUGCAGUGUUCCUGAAGUGCUCAGUCUUUAGUUUUGUGAAGCCAUGUCCAGCUCUGUCUUCUUCUUUUGAGUUUUGUUGGCGGUUGACAAACCAACAUUUAUCACCACUUACUGGACUAGACAAGCUCGGUCCCCCAAGCAUUCGGUAAAAAUAAAUAAAAACGGGUCUAAAUUUUGCCGUCUAGAAUUUUUUUUUUUUUUCUGUAGUUAUGGGAGCCCGUUUCUGCCACUCUGUUAAAAGAGAUAAAAUAAAUUAUCUCAUAAUAAUGAGAUAGUAUCUCAUUUUAAUGAGUAACUGGUUCAUUCCUUUAUCUUAUCUUUAAAUGAGUGCACUAUACACCAAGGCAAGUUUUUUAAGCACUUGUGAUUUAUUUGGGGGGAUGUCAAAAUAAUGGAUUGUUUUUUGUUUACAGAACACAAAAUAAAUACAUUCUGAAUAAAG